AUGUCGAGGGCGGCUGCAUCUCGGCCAAGCGGCCCCAUCCUUUUGAGCCCCUUUCCCAACUACCAAUCCGCCUCGCUCUCCCGUGUCAAGCUCCCCGCCGGUGGCUCGCCGUCGCCGGUCAAGUCCGUCAGCGUCUCCUCUCCCCCCUCCUCCCCCACCGCCGCCCCCAAGAUCCGUCGGUCCUGCAUGUGCUCCCCCACGAACCACCCGGGCUCCUUCCGGUGCAGCCUCCACAAGGAGCGCAAGCAGGCGGCCCAAGCUGGCAGCACCAGCAGGCCCGUCUCCCCGCCUUCGCUGCCGUCGAAGCGCACGGCGAGCCCAUUCGCGCAGCUCGUCCCCAGAGGCAGCGGCUGCUCUAGACGCUCGUACAGCGGGCUGGCGCAGCGCGUCCCCAUGGGGAGCGGGCACUGGGCACGCAAGGCGCUCGUGCCGUCCCACGCGGUGCAGCAGCUGCAGCACCGGAAGCGAGUGGUGGAGCAGUUCCACGCCGGGCCCAGCCGGCUCUCCGCCGCCGCCGGCCGCCAGUAA
rnacentral:rRNA from 1 species